AUUCAGCUGACGAGUCCGAAACGCGCGUCCUGGAU
rfam:Schistosoma curassoni strain Dakar, Senegal genome assembly, scaffold: SCTD_scaffold0004559